rnacentral:rRNA from 1 species
GCGGCGCGCCUAACACAUGCAAGUCGAACGGAGCUGUUUUCUCUGAAGUUUUCGGAUGGAAGAGAGUUCAGCUUAGUGGCGAACGGGUGAGUAACACGUGAGCAACCUGCCUUUCAGUGGGGGACAACAUUUGGAAACGAAUGCUAAUACCGCAUAAGACCACAGUGUCGCAUGGCACAGGGGUCAAAGGAUUUAUCCGCUGAAAGAUGGGCUCGCGUCCGAUUAGCUAGAUGGUGAGGUAACGGCCCACCAUGGCGACGAUCGGUAGCCGGACUGAGAGGUUGAACGGCCACAUUGGGACUGAGACACGGCCCAGACUCCUACGGGAGGCAGCAGUGGGGAAUAUUGCACAAUGGGGGAAACCCUGAUGCAGCGACGCCGCGUGGAGGAAGAAGGUCUUCGGAUUGUAAACUCCUGUCCCAGGGGACGAUAAUGACGGUACCUAACAAGAAAGCACCGGCUAACUACGUGCCAGCAGCCGCGGUAAAACGUAGGGUGCAAGCGUUGUCCGGAAUUACUGGGUGUAAAGGGAGCGCAGGCGGACCGGCAAGUUGGAAGUGAAAUCCAUGGGCUCAACCCGUGAAUUGCUUUCAAAACUGCUGGCCUUGAGUAGUGCAGAGGUAGGUGGAAUUCCCGGUGUAGCGGUGGAAUGCGUAGAUAUCGGGAGGAACACCAGUGGCGAAGGCGACCUACUGGGCACCAACUGACGCUGAGGGCUCGAAAGCAUGGGUAGCAAACAGGAUUAGAUACCCUGGUAGUCCAUGCCGUAAACGAUGAUUACUAGGUGUUGGAGGAUUGACCCCUUCAGUGCCGCAGUUAACACAAUAAGUAAUCCACCUGGGGAGUACGACCGCAAGGUUGAAACUCAAAGGAAUUGACGGGGGCCCGCACAAGCAGUGGAGUAUGUGGUUUAAUUCGAAGCAACGCGAAGAACCUUACCAGGUCUUGACAUCCGAUGCAUAGUGCAGAGAUGCAUGAAGUCCUUCGGGACAUCGAGACAGGUGGUGCAUGGUUGUCGUCAGCUCGUGUCGUGAGAUGUUGGGUUAAGUCCCGCAACGAGCGCAACCCUUAUUGCCAGUUACUACGCAAGAGGACUCUGGCGAGACUGCCGUUGACAAAACGGAGGAAGGUGGGGAUGACGUCAAAUCAUCAUGCCCUUUAUGACCUGGGCUACACACGUACUACAAUGGCGUUUAACAAAGAGAAGCAAGACCGCGAGGUGGAGCAAAACUCAGAAACAACGUCUCAGUUCAGACUGCAGGCUGCAACUCGCCUGCAUGAAGUCGGAAUUGCUAGUAAUCGCGGAUCAGCAUGCCGCGGUGAAUACGUUCCCGGGCCUUGUACACACCGCCCGUCACACCAUGAGAGCCGGGGGGACCCGAAGUCGGUGAGGUAACCUUUUGGAGCCAGCCGCCUAAGGUGGGAUAGAUGAUUGGG